rnacentral:rRNA from 1 species
GACGAACGCUGGCGGCGUGCUUAACACAUGCAAGUCGAACGGAAAGGCCCUGCUUUUGUGGGGUGCUCGAGUGGCGAACGGGUGAGUAACACGUGAGUAACCUGCCCUUGACUUUGGGAUAACGUCAGGAAACUGGGGCUAAUACCGGAUAGGAGCUCCUGCUGCAUGGUGGGGGUUGGAAAGUUUCGGCGGUUGGGGAUGGACUCGCGGCUUAUCAGCUUGUUGGUGGGGUAGUGGCUUACCAAGGCUUUGACGGGUAGCCGGCCUGAGAGGGUGACCGGCCACAUUGGGACUGAGGUCCGGCCCAGACUCCUACGGGAGGCAGCAGUGGGGAAUAUUGCACAAUGGGCGGAAGCCUGAUGCAGCAACGCCGCGUGCGGGAUGACGGCCUUCGGGUUUUAACCCGCUUUCGCCUGUGACGAGGCGUGAGUGACGGUAAUGGGUAAAGAAGCACCGGCUAACUACGUG